AUUGAACGCUGGCGGCAUGCUUUACACAUGCAAGUCGAACGGUAACAGGGUGCUUGCACCGCUGACGAGUGGCGAACGGGUGAGUAAUGCGUCGGAACGUGCCGAGUAGUGGGGGAUAACGCAGCGAAAGUUGUGCUAAUACCGCAUACGUACUGAGGUAGAAAGUGGGGGACCUUCGGGCACAACGCUAUUCGAGCGGGGGAGGUCUGAUUAGCUAGUAGGUGAGGUAAAGGCUCACCUAGGCGACGAUCAGUAGCGGGUCUGAGAGGAUGAUCCGCCACACUGGGACUGAGACACGGCCCAGACUCCUACGGGAGGCAGCAGUGGGGAAUUUUGGACAAUGGGCGAAAGCCUGAUCCAGCCAUGCCGCGUGUCUGAAGAAGGCCUUCGGGUCGUAAAGGACUUUUGUCAGGGAGGAAAUCCCUAGUGCUAAUAACACUGGGGGAUGACAGUACCUGAAGAAUAAGCACCGGCUAACUACGUGCCAGCCGCCGCCGUAA
rnacentral:rRNA from 1 species